AGACAGUAAAAGAGACAUAGGUUUAUUAAGGGGACUUUCACACAGGUGCAGUGGCUGUGGCUGGACAUGAGAACCACUACGUUUGUAAAAAGCAAGCAGCUUCCGUAACAUUUUCACCUAGCAUCCUCGACCUGUUACCGGUGGAAGGUAUCCAAGUUCCUGGUGGUGAAUCUAUACACAACUGAAACAACCUCAAUUCUUGCCUCCUCAGAAGAAAGAAUUUAACUGAGGGUCAUAAAGUAGAAACCAGAUAGAGGCAAGCUGCAGAGCAGGAGUAAAAUUUUAUUAAAAAGCAGGCCAGGAACAGGCGUGGUGGCUCAUGCCUGUAAUCCCAGUUCUUUGGGACGCUGAGACCAGAGGAUCACCUGAGAUCAGGAGUUGGAGACCAGCCUGGCCAACGGUGGUGAAACCAUGUCUCUACUAAAAAUACAAAAAUUAGCUGGGCGUGAUGGUGAGUGCCUGUAAUCCCAGCUACUUGGGAGGCUGAGGCAGGAGAAUCUCUUGAACCUGGGAGGUGGAGGUUGCAGUGAGCUGAGAUUGAGCCACUGCAUUCCAGCCUGGGCUAUAGAGUGAGAGAGUAUUAAAAAAAUUGUUAUUAAAAAAAACUUUAGAACACGAAGUAAAGGAAAGAAGGAAAGUACAACUUGGAAGAGGGCCAAGCGGUCGACCUGAGAAACCAAGUGCCCAGCUUGACCUCUUGACUCAGAGUUUCACAGGUUGGCAUCCUUCCAGGAUCUUGCCACUCCUGAUUCCUUAGCUUGGGGCUCCGAAUGGACUUUCUCCUUAGAUCGUAAAGUCAUUCUGAGGGUACACGUCAGUUACGGCUGUCGGGUGCCUCUGCCAUACAGAGGGGUCCCUCUGGUCCUAGGAACCUGGACUGGACACAAUUGUUUGUGAUUACUCCCCUCCCUAUUCUCAUGCUCGCCAAAUUCACCUUCUGAGAAUGGACCUUAAUACUGGAAAUGAAGUCCCCAAGGUAGUGAAAAGAAAUACAUUCUAGAAACUGAAAAGGCCUAAAGGCUUUUUCCCAAAUGUUUACACUCUUUUUCUUAUUUUCUUUCUUUAAAAUUUUACUUGUAUAUUCCUUUAGUGAAAUGCUUACAUGCUUAAAUUAGGAUAUAGUUCACUGUUUAUGAGGCAGCUUUAGGCCACAUUUAACAAAUGUAAGAAAAAGUAGGAUGCAAAAGUUUAUACAGUAUGUACAAAUCAUUAAUUCAGGACGGGCUUAGUGGCUCACAUCUGUAAUCCCAGCAUUUUGGGAGGGGGAGGCAGGAGGAUGACUUGAGCCCAGGAGUUGUGACCAGCCUGGACAACAUAAUGAGACCACUGUCUCUACAAGAAAUACAAAAAAAAAAAAAAAAAUUACCCAGGCGGGGUGGCACACACCUAUCAUCCCAGGUCCAUGAGAGGCCGAGGCAGGAGCAUUGAUGAAGCCCAGGAAGCAGAGGUUGCAGUGAGCCAAGAUUGUGCCACUGCACUCCAGCCCAGGUGAAGAGUGAGACCCCAUCUCAAAAAAAGAAAAGAAAAGAAAAGAAUAAGACUAAAGGGUGCCAGAGAAGAUGCCUUCCUUUUUCUUUUUUUUAGUCUCGCCCUGUCACCCAGGCUGGAGGGCAAUGGCCCGAUCUCAGCUCACUGCAACCUCCACCUCCCUGGUUCAAGUGAUUCUCCUGCCUCAGCCUCCUGAGUAGCUGGGAUUACAGGUGCUCACCACCACACCCAGCUAGUUUUUGUAUUUUUAACAAAGACAGGGUUUCCCUAUGUUAACCAGGCUGGCCUCGAACUCCUGACCUCAGGUGAUCCGCCCACCUCGGCCUCCCAAAGUCCUGGGAUUACAGGCGUGAGCCACCACGCCUGGCCAAUUCAAACAUUUCUUCCCUUUACAGUUGGCUAAGAAAGCAAAGCUUUAUCUAAAACCUUGGGGUCAGCAGAAGGGGUGUUAAGUUUUUGCCUGUGAGUGUGAUUCCCUCCAGGCCCC
ensembl:lncRNA